rnacentral:lncRNA from 1 species
UCAGAAUUGAUGGUUCAGAUUAUCAAGAUACUUCAGGCUUCAAUACUUAUGCUCCCUUAAUUGAGGUCAGAUAAGUGGAAGAUGCCCUCAGAAGAUCCAGUUUCUCUGCUCCUGGGAGAUGUGCCCCAUAGGACAUAGACAACUUUUGGAAUUCUUAUCCUUGCUGCCUUUUUGUUCUGGAGUGGACCCAGUCUCCCAAAUCAGAGCUUUGAAAGAUGACAGCCCCCUUUCCAUGGAUGUUGGAUGCUGGGAUGGAGGGUGUGAGAGCAAGGAGCCCACAUUCCACCCACAAGCCCCAGAGGGAUGCACAGCGAUGCCAGAAACAAGAAGCAAGGAACUCAUUUCACACUCAGGCAAGUCCCUGAUAAAGGAAGAAUUUUUCCUGUUGUAAAAUGGGAUAUAUUAAAAAAA